rnacentral:lncRNA from 10 species
GGUUUCACCAUGUUUCUCAGGCUGGUGUGUAACUCCUGACCUCGUGAUCCGCCCGCCUCGGCCUCCCCAAGUGCUGGGAUUACAGGCGUGAGCCAUCGCGCCCGGCCGCCAUUUUUCUUAAAGUGAGACACAACGAAACAAUAUGUGAUAAUUUUACAGGAGUCCACCGUCAAAUGUGGUUUCACUUUCUGCAGCUUCAGUUACCUGAGGUCAACCUCAGUCUGCAAAUAGCUCUAUUCAAAAUACCCAAGAUUUGGAAGCAACCUAAGUGCAUAUCAGCAGACAAAUGGAUAAAGAAAAUGUGGUACAUAUACAAAAUGGAGUACUAUUCAGCUGUAAAAAAGAAUGAGAUCCUGUCAUUUGCAACAACAUGCAUGCAACUGGAGGUCGUUAUGCCUCUGCCUCUGAAUGUGAAGGGAAACUGGACCAGCUCAGUGUCAAGCCUCCCCGUUGGAGCCAGUUUUCAGCUUGGAUUUCAGGAGAGCUUCUAAGGAAGAAUAAGCAUGCCUAUCUCCCAGUCUUCCCAUUUGUGUCCUGGGCCUCUUAUGGCUUUGGUCUGUAAGCAGCAGAG